UACGGAGGGUGCAAGCGUUGUCCGGAUUUAUUGGGUUUAAAGGGUGCGUAGGCGGUUCUUUAAGUCCGGGGUGAAAGCCCACUGCUCAACAGUGGAACUGCCCUGGAAACUGGAGAACUUGAGUACAGACGAGGGCGGCGGAAUGGAUGGUGUAGCAGUGAAAUGCAUAGAUACCAUCCAGAACCCCGAUUGCGAAGGCAGCUGCCUAGACUGUAACUGACGCUGAGGCACGAAAGCGUGGGGAGCGAACAGG
rnacentral:rRNA from 1 species